UUACUGCUACUAGAGCAGGACCAAGUGAGGGUGGUGUACAGGCUAAUAGCAGAGACUCAGUGUGUGAACAAAACCCUCACCUCCCUCCAGCACUUUGGGAGGCCAAGGUGGGUGGAUCACCUGAGAUCAGGAAUUCAAUGCCAGCCUGACCAAUGUGGUGAAACCCUAUCUCUACCAAAAAUACAAAAAUUAGCCAGGCACGGUGGUGCAUGCCUGUGAUCCCAGCUACUUGGGAGGCUGAGGCACGAGAAUGACUUAAACCUGGGAAAUGGAC
rnacentral:lncRNA from 1 species